AUUGAACGCUGGCGGCAGGCUUAACACAUGCAAGUCGAACGAGUGGCGGACGGGUGAGUAAUGCUUGGGAAUCUAGCUUAUCGAGGGGGAUAACUACGGGAACCUUUAGCUAAUACCGCGUACCAUAGGAUCAGCCCAGGUGGGAUUAGGUAGGUGGUGAGGUAAAGGCUCACCAAGCCGACGAUCCCUAGCUGGUCUGAGAGGAUGAUCAGCCACACUGGGACUGAGACACGGCCCAGACUCCUACGGGAGGCAGCAGUGGGGAAUAUUGCACAAUGGGCGAAAGCCUGAUGCAGCAAUGCCGCGUGUAUGAAGAAGGCCUUAGGGUUGUAAAGUACUUUCAGCGGGGAGGCGUUACCCGCAGAAGAAGCACCGGCUAACUACGUGCCAGCAGCCGCGGUAAUUC
rnacentral:rRNA from 1 species